rnacentral:sRNA from 1 species
AAUCCUUGUAUCAUGGAAAUGUUAACAUUUAAAGUAUUUAUUUGGUUAGAGUCUAAAUAAUGGAAAACUGAAAAAUUUAUUCUUCAUUGUUUGUUUGCUUACUUUGUUUUGAUAAUGAAUGCUCACGCACUUUAGGUUCUUUCUACCAACCUUUUCUUUAUAGUUACCCCAACAAGCCGAAGCUUACUCAGGCAGCCAGAUAUUUCCUGCAUUCUUGGAACAGGAGGGAAGUCGCCCCGACUUACGCAGUCUUCAGGGUUCUUUGGAAAUCUCUCCAUGGUUACUAAUCUGGAUGACAGUAACUGGGCAGCUGCAUUUUCAUCACAGCGUUCCGGGCUCUUCACAAACACAGAGCCCCACAGUAUAACAGAAGAUGUAACUAUCAGUGCUGUUAUGUUACGUGAGGAUGAUCCUGGAGAAGCUGCAUCCGUGAGUAUGUUUUCUGAUUUCCUGCAGUCUUUUCUGAAGCACUCUUCAAGUACAGUUUUUGAUCUUGUGGAAGAGUAUGAAAACAUC